rnacentral:misc_RNA from 1 species
AAGUCGUAACAAGGUUUCCGUAGGUGAACCUGCGGAAGGAUCAUUAUUGAUACGCGCCGUCGGGGGCCGAAAACCCGCCACGUCCUCACGGGCGUGUGAAACCAAACCAACCUGUGAAUCGUGGGCGGCCGCGCCAGCGCGACGCCCUCUUUUGCAACUGCCGUCCUAUGUCCAGAAAGAAAACACAAAAGAGUACAA